AUCGCUUCUCGGCCUUUUGGCUAAGAUCAAGUGUAGAUGAUACCUAAAUUGUGAAUGCCCUAAAUAUUUAUGGAGAGAUCUUUUCAGCUUAUCAAGAUUUUUCUACUGAUACCUUUAGUUUUUAUUUAAAAAUGAAAGAGCUAUA
rnacentral:snRNA from 1 species